GGGGCUAUAGCUCAGCCGGUUAGAGCGCAUCCCUGAUAAGGAUGAGGUCGCUGGUUCGAUUCCAGCUAGCCCCACCC
rnacentral:tRNA from 1 species